rnacentral:rRNA from 1 species
UGGCGAUAGCGAAGAGGUCACACCCGUUCCCAUACCGAACACGGAAGUUAAGCUCUUCAGCGCCGAUGGUAGUCGGG